UACGAAGGGUGCAAGCGUUAAUCGGAAUUACUGGGCGUAAAGGGUGCGUAGGCGGUUCGUUAAGUCUGUCGUGAAAUCCCCGGGCUCAACCUGGGAAUGGCGAUGGAUACUGGCGAGCUAGAGUGUGUCAGAGGAUGGUGGAAUUCCCGGUGUAGCGGUGAGAUGCGUAGAGAUCGGGAGGAACAUCAGUGGCGAAGGCGGCCAUCUGGGACAACACUGACGCUGAAGCACGAAAGCGUGGGGAGCGAACCGG
rnacentral:rRNA from 1 species